rnacentral:rRNA from 1 species
UGGGGAAUUUUGCACAAUGGGGGAAACCCUGAUGCAGCGACGCCGCGUGAUUUAGAAGGCCUUCGGGUUGUAAAAAUCUUUUCUAUGGGAAGAAAAUGACAGUACCAUAGGAAUAAGGACCGGCUAAUUACGUGCCAGCAGCCGCGGUAAUACGUAAGGUCCGAGCGUUGUCCGGAAUCAUUGGGCGUAAAGGGUACGUAGGCGGGUAAGCAAGUUAGAAGUGAAAUCCUAUAGCUCAACUAUAGUAAGCUUUUAAAACUGCUAAGCUUGAGGUAUGGAAGGGAAAGUGGAAUUCCUAGUGUAGCGGUGAAAUGCGCAGAUAUUAGGAGGAAUACCGGUGGCGAAGGCGACUUUCUGGCCAUAACCUGACGCUGAGGUACGAAAGCGUGGGUAGCAAACAGG